rnacentral:rRNA from 1 species
UACGGGGGGGGGUAAGCGUUGUUCGGAAUUACUGGGCGUAAAGCGUGCGCAGGCGGCUAUGCAAGACAGAUGUGAAAUCCCCGGGCUUAACCUGGGAACUGCAUUUGUGACUGCAUGGCUAGAGUACGGUAGAGGGGGAUGGAAUUCCGCGUGUAGCAGUGAAAUGCGUAGAUAUGCGGAGGAACACCGAUGGCGAAGGCAAUCCCCUGGACCUGUACUGACGCUCAUGCACGAAAGCGUGGGGAGCAAACAGG